CCUACGGGUGGCAGCAGUGGGGAAUAUUGCACAAUGGGGGAAACCCUGAUGCAGCGACGCCGCGUGAAGGAAGAAGUAUUUCGGUAUGUAAACUUCUAUCAGCAGGGAAGAAAAUGACCGUACCUGACUAAGAAGCCCCGGCUAACUACGUUCCAGCAGCCGCGGGAAUACGUAGGGGGCAAGCGUUAUCCGGAUUUACUGGGUGUAAAGGGAGCGUAGGCGGGGAGGCAAGUCAGAAGUGAAAGCCAGGGGCUCAACUUGGUGACUGCUGUUGAAAAUGGAUGGCUUGAGUGAAGGAGAGGCAAGUGGAAUUACGAGUGUAGCGGUGAAAUGCGUAGAUAUUAGGAGGAACACCAGUGGCGAAGGCGGCUAGCUGGACUGUAAAUGACGCUGAGGCUCGAAAGCGUGGGGAGCAAACAGGAUUAGAUACCCUUGUAGUC
rnacentral:rRNA from 1 species